ensembl:lncRNA
ACUAUAUGAUGUUCUAAUAUUACGUUUCUGUUUCCACUUCAUCGUCCUAUUUCGGGGUCAGGAGGAGCGGAUACAUUCCAUCAUAUAGUCUUCCUGUGCAUCCCUUUUGAUGAUUCUCCUCUCAGUUGGACUCUAGUUAUCAUGACUCAAGGCGAGUCCCAGAUGCAGACACAGGAGGCAGAUGGUUGGAGUCUAAGAUGUUUAAUCAUCCAAAAGGAAUAGGCAAGACAAUGGUCGUGGACAGGCAAAAGGUCAAAACCAGUUCAGAGUCCAGGAGGUACAGAGUGGCAGACGGGCUCAUGGUCAAAGGCAGGCAGAAUGGUCAGGCAGGCGGGUACAGAGUCCAGAAAGAGAAGGUGAGAAACCCUCCUCCACUAUGCUGUGGUGUCACCAGACCACGUCCGCCCUGGAGUGUGUCCUUCUGAUGAAACAGUGCUGGAACGAACAGGCAGACAGGCGCACUUUGAUGACAUCUUUGACCGGGUACCUUAGCCAGGAGACAUCCGAGGCAUCAAAAACUGCUCACAAUCGGCGUCUUCAUGAAAUCAAGAAAGAAACAAACAUUUGACUAAGGGAACCUUUUGUCAGUGAAAUUUCAAUCAAUUUCACCAUUCAUUUAACCCUGUUCCCAAUCAAUCCCAGUUUAAGAACAUUAACAAAAGGGAGGGAGGCCAACAUUCUAGACACUGUGCUAUGGAUCCUGGAGCAGUACUCGUCUAGCACGGAGGAGCUGAUCCGAGAGAGUUGGAGAUAGAGCAACAGAAGACUGAGAAACUACUCACUCAGAAGCUGCCUCCGUGACUAACAGACAACAACAACACACACCCUCAAAGAAACUGUCUAGGAUGUACACUUUUAUCCACUUUCAAUUGAAUAGGGCCCUAAGUGGUGUGUUUCAGUCAACAGGAAAGCGUAAGUCCUCUCAACUGUCACCAGAAAUCACAAUAUGGCUAAAAUAUGAAGCAAUUCUAAGCUGCGUUUUACCCAUCGCUUUAUCCCACACUCCCAAAAUAGGAUUUUCCCU